GGGAAAAUCUACGUUCUGUAGAGAACCUCCUUUCUUUUUCCAGGUCUCUUCUUUGAUCCAAGAGAGAAUUAACUAAGAGUCUGGUAUCUUUUUAGUUCUGCUAAGAGCUCUAACGCCUGCUACCUGGAGGCUUCAUCUGCAUGAAAAGACCAAAAUUUCAGUCUCCACACCCCCUUAUAUUAACCUAGACAUUCCUUUCUGUUGAUUCCGGGUCUUUAGAUAAUAACUCUUUCAACCAAUUGCCCAUCAGAAAAUCUUUGAAUCUACCUAUGACCUGGUAGCCCUUCCCACCUUUCUGGAUCAAACCAAUGUACAUCUUACAUGCAUUAAUUGAUGCCAUAUGUCUCCCUAAAAUGUAUAAAAUCAAGCUGUAGCCUGACCACCUUGGGCACAUAUUGUCAGGAUUUCCUGGGGCUGUGUUAUGAGCCAUUGGUCAUUCAUAUUUGGCUCAGAAUAAGUCUCUUCAAAUAUUUUACAGAGUUUGACUUUUUUCUUUGGCAAGUUGAAGGUGGUAGAUUUUGGGACAAAUCCACAUAAUCGUGUGAAUUUCUCCUUAUAUUCAAUGGCAAACCAAGUAUGAAAGAGAAAAGGCAAAGAAUUGGAUUUAUCUUUGGUUACAAUAACACUAGCUACACUAACAAACUUAGAAAUAUCAGUGGUUAAACACAACAGAAUAUUAUUUCUUACGCAUAAAAAAAUCAUCAACUAGUAAUCGGAUUGAUUCCAUGAAGGCAGUUAGGAAGCCAUUAGUGAAGUUUUGGCCAUCUUCAGCAUGCAACUUUCAUGAACAUUUUGGGUGCUGUCAUUCAGCAGAUGAGGGGAGAAAGUGCAGGGUCUGGCCAGAGGUUGAUAGCACAUAUAACUUUAAAAAAAUUUCACCCCAAAAUAUAUAAUAUUUGUUUGACAUAUUUCAAGAUAGCUAUUUAGAGUCUAAAAACACAAGAAUAGCUAAAAGGUUGCCUUUUGUGAAGAUUUGCAUCUGUAGAGAAAAAUCUGCAUUGGUGAAAUAAACAGCCAAGCUUUCCCUGGCACACCGGCUCCCCCUACCCCUCCUACCCCAAACUCCAGUGUCCAGAUAUAGGAAAGAUUGGCUUGUGGAAGAGAGAGAAUGAGAGUCUGACACUUUCAGGAGUCUGACAGAAACUUACUUUCUGAGCACUGCUACCUGUGAGGUUUCAUCUGCAUAACAAAACUGCCUUUGCCAGCUAAGGCCUCUCUUCUUCUCUCUCUCACAUCACUUGUCUUGCCAUGCUUCAAGCCCCUAUUCUUUCUGUAACCUCAAGAUGGUAUAAAAACAUCAACCAUCUGGUUCUUUAAAUUUUCAUAUUUUGUAUAACUUCCAUACACACCCUUGCAUAUUAAUAAAUUUUAUGGCUUUUUCUAUUAACCUGCCUUUUGUCAGCUGAUUUUCAGUGAACCUUCAGAGGGCAAAAGGGAAGUUUUUCCUUGGCCUCUACAGUUUUGGUGCUGUGAGCAACACAAUCACAACCACCCUGCUCUUUUGGAAGCCACAGUCAAGGGAACUCUGGACCUAACAAGCUGGCAGAAGGGUCACAAUCACUCCAUUCCUAGAAUGUGAUCCCUUUUAAUGCUGAAACUGCAACCUUGCCUUCCACAUACCACCACGUGGGAAGGUUAAGGGAAGAGCCAUAGUCAGAGAAGGAAGAGUGCCACUGAAGCAAAGAAUUUCCCUUCCUCUUCCAAAAUGGCUUAAGACUGGAAGCAAAGAAUUUCCCUUCCUCUUCCAAAAUGGCUUAAGACUGAUCAGGAGGACACACAUCCACAUAGAAAAGAAACAAGAGAGGAUAUCCAUCAGGAGGGCCCAUUGAGAGUUACAGAGCAAUGAUCUCUAAAGUUCUUGGACAGUCUGGGGCAUGGCCACCCGGAAGGACCACCUGCAGAAAGGUGAGUGACUGCCUUGGGAGCCAGCAGUGAAAGAUCCUCUGUCCCUCAGGUGCAGUAGACUGAAGGUGGCCUUCUCCCUUGGAACACAGACAGCUCAUAGGCCCCCACAUGCAGUUCCAGCUCAAAGCUCAGCCAGUCUCCCAGAGCCUUGCCUUUGUCCAUUUUUAUACAGUGGGUGAGUCACCCAUAAUGAACAUUUCAGCACCAUUCUGGCAGCCCAAUCUUGUACACAGUGAGAGAAAGAAACACUGACCAAGUCAGAGGAGAGAUCUGCUCGCCAGACUGCCUCCUGGAACUCUGGCCCAGCCGCCAGCUGAGACAACCCCUCCAGUAACUAAGCAAAUAUCUCUGAGGACAUCUGUUUAGCUCCAUGCAUGGAAUAGGGGGUCAGAGAGCUCCCAGAGAGCAGGAGUCACUGGGUCUGGAGCCCACACAGUUGAGACCUUGGCCCAGUGCUGCCCCAGAAAACAAUACCAGCCUCAGGAACAAAAUGAGGACUUAGAAAAUUUGGAGAAAAGGGCUUUUGGCAACAAAUUUAGCUGGACAUCUUAUAUUUUUGCUUGCUAAAUCUGGCAACCCUAGAUAUAUUAUACUUUACUUAUUUUGG
rnacentral:lncRNA from 10 species